GACGUAGGAUGCGAGCGUUGUCCGGAAUUAUUGGGCGUAAAGCGUACGUAGGCGGUCCGUUAAGUUUGGGGUUAAAGACCGAGGCUCAACCUCGGGGGUGCCCUGAAGACUGGUGGACUGGAGGACGGCAGAGGAAGGUGGAAUUCCCAGUGUAGCGGUGAAAUGCGUAGAUAUUGGGAGGAACACCAGUGGCGAAAGCGACCUUCUGGGCCGUUCCUGACGCUGAGGUACGAAAGCCAGGGGAGCAAAC
rnacentral:rRNA from 1 species